GGAAGAGUCAGUUCAGAGCAGAGAGACCACUGUGGAGAGAAGAGAGCAGCAAAAGCGGAAAAGAAACGGACUGUGCCAAUCAUUGAAUCAGGAUGCUUGUUCUCAUCAUGACGACUCUGCUCUUCUCUGUGGGACGCAGCAAGACUGACACAGGUGCAUCAGUGUGGGGAACACCAUUCUGUGAUAAUAGAUUCUGUAUCACUCUUAGUGAAGGAGAAAUAAGAGCAGAGGCUGGACUCUGUGUUGUGAUACCGUGUUCUUUCACCACCAGUUAUUACUUUACACCCCAAAAUAUAGUUUGGUACAAAUGUGAACCAUCCAAACAAAA